rnacentral:rRNA from 1 species
AGCAGCCGCGGUAAUUCCAGCUCCAAUAGCGUAUAUUAAAGUUGUUGCAGUUAAAAAGCUCGUAGUUGAACUUCGGGGUUCACCCAUUGGUCAGGCUUAAUUGUCUGUACUGGUGAGAUGAGUCUCUACCUUCUGAGGAACUUUCAUGCCAUUUAUUUGGUGUGGUUGGAAAUCAGGACUGUUACUUUGAAAAAAUUAGAGUGUUUAAAGCAGGCUAACGUCUGAAUACAUUAGCAUGGAAUAAUGAAAUAGGACGGAUUGAUUCUAUUUCGUUGGUUUCUAGGGUCACCGUAAUGAUUAAUAGGGAUAGUUGGGGGCAUUAGUAUUCAAUUGUCAGAGGUGAAAUUCUUGGAUUUAUUGAAGACUAACUACUGCGAAAGCAUUUGCCAAGGAUGUUUUCAUUAAUCAAGAACGAAAGUUAGGGGAUCGAAGACGAUCAGAUACCGUCGUAGUCUUAACCAUAAACUAUGCCGACUAGGGAUCGGACGCAGUUAAUUUUAUAAUGACGUGUUCGGCACCUUACG